GACUGCUCUGGUGACCUAGUGGUUAGAGCAUCUGCCUCAGAUGUGUGAGCUUGUGGGUUCGAUCCCCGACCAAGUCA